rnacentral:misc_RNA from 1 species
AGUAUUCUUGCUAAUAUCCCACAUCGGUUUGGAGAGGGCUUGGGCACUCCCCCUUUGAGCUAGCUUUCAGGGGUGAGCUAAGUCCAGGCUAUUUUCUUAAGAUGGUAUAGAGCAUAGUUUGGAUCGUGGAUUUCAACCGCCAAUAAGACUGAAAAAUUAAGCUCGUAUUGGGUUAAUAUUUACUAAUUAUCUAGUAAUAACCAUGUGGUUACACUUG